rnacentral:rRNA from 1 species
UGGGGAAUUUUGCACAAUGGGGGAAACCCUGAUGCAGCGACGCCGCGUGAGCGAAGAAGGUUUUCGAAUCGUAAAGCUCUGUCCUAUGAGAAGAUAAUGACGGUAUCAUAGGAGGAAGCCCCGGCUAAAUACGUGCCAGCAGCCGCGGUAAUACGUAUGGGGCGAGCGUUGUCCGGAAUUAUUGGGCGUAAAGGGUACGUAGGCGGUCUAUUAAGUCAGGUGUGAAAGCGUGAGGCUUAACCUCAUUAAGCACUUGAAACUGAUAGACUUGAGUGAAGGAGAGGAAAGUGGAAUUCCUAGUGUAGCGGUGAAAUGCGUAGAUAUUAGGAGGAAUACCGGUGGCGAAGGCGACUUUCUGGACUUUUACUGACGCUCAGGUACGAAAGCGUGGGGAGCAAACAGG